rnacentral:rRNA from 1 species
AGCAGUCGCCGCGGUAAUACAGAGGGUGCGAGCGUUAAUCGGAUUUACUGGGCGUAAAGCGUGCGUAGGCGGCUUCUUAAGUAGGAUGUGAAAUCCCUGAGCUUAACUUAGGAAUUGCAUUCGAUACUGGGAAGCUAGAGUAUGGGAGAGGAUGGUAGAAUUCCAGGUGUAGCGGUGAAAUGCGUAGAGAUCUGGAGGAAUACCGAUGGCGAAGGCAGCCAUCUGGCCUAAUACUGACGCUGAGGUACGAAAGCAUGGGGAGCAAACAGGAUUAGAUACCCCUGUAGUCCCUGUCUCUUAUAU